ACGAACGCUGGCGGCGUGCUUAACACCUGCAAGUCGCGCGGUGAAGCGCCUUCCUUUUUGGUGGGUGUGGAUGAGUGGCGAACGGGUGAGUUACACGUGAGUAACCUGCCCCCUUCUUCUGGAUAACCGCAUGAAAGUGUGGCUAAUACGGGAUAUUCUGGGUCUGUCGCAUGAUGGGUCUGGGAAAGAUAUUGUUUCGGUUGGGGAUGGGCUCGCGGCCUAUCAGCUUGUUGGUGGGGUGAUGGCCUACCAAGGCGGUGACGGGUAGCCGGCCUGAGAGGGUGGACGGUCACACUGGGACUGAGACACGGCCCAGACGCCUACGGGAGGCAGCAGUGGGGAAUAUUGCACAAUGGGCGCAAGCCUGAUGCAGCGACGCCGCGUGAGGGAUGGAGGCCUUCGGGUUGUGAACCUCUUUCGCCAGUGAAGCAGGCCUGCCUCGUUUGUGGGUGGGUUGACGGUAGCUGGAUAAGAAGCGCCGGCUAACUACGUG
rnacentral:rRNA from 1 species